GAUGAACGCUAGCGGCAGGCUUAAUACAUGCAAGUCGAGGGGGAUUAGUUUUGUAGCAAUACAGGACUAUGAGACCGGCAAACGGGUGCGGAACACGUACAGAACCUUCCUUCGGGCGGGGAAUAGCCCAGAGAAAUUUGGAUUAAUACCCCAUAGUAUAAUGAUGAGGCAUCUCUUUAUUAUUAAAGAUUUAUCACUUGAAGAUGGCUGUGCGGCUGAUUAGAUAGUUGGUGAGGUAACGGCUCACCAAGUCUGCGAUCAGUAACUGGUGUGAGAGCACGACCAGUCACACGGGCACUGAGACACGGGCCCGACUCCUACGGGAGGCAGCAGUAAGGAAUAUUGGUCAAUGGACGAAAGUCUGAACCAGCCAUGCCGCGUGGAGGAUGAAGGCCCUCUGGGUUGUAAACUUCUUUUAUAUGGGACGAAAAAGGGGCUUUCUAGUCCAACUGACGGUACCAUGUGAAUAAGCACCGGCUAACUCCGUGCCAGCCGCCGCGGUAAUAC
rnacentral:rRNA from 1 species